rnacentral:rRNA from 1 species
GUGGCGAGUGGCGAACGGGGUGAGUAACAUAUCGGAACGUAUCCAAUAAUGGGGGAUAACUAAUCGAAAGGUUGGCUAAUACCGCAUACGCCCUACGGGGGAAAGCUAGGGACCUUCGGGCCUGGCGUUAAUGGAGCGGCUGAUAUCUGAUUAGCUAGUUGGUGAGGUAAAGGCUCACCAAGGCGACGAUCAGUAGCUGGUCUGAGAGGACGACCAGCCACACUGGAACUGAGACACGGUCCAGACUCCUACGGGAGGCAGCAGUGGGGAAUUUUGGACAAUGGGCGCAAGCCUGAUCCAGCCAUUCCGCGUGAGUGAAGAAGGCCUUCGGGUUGUAAAGCUCUUUCGCAAGGGAAGAAAACUUAUCCUCUAACAUAGGAUGAGGUUGACGGUACCUUGAUAAGAAGCACCGGCUAACUACGUGCCAGCAGCCGCGGUAAUACGUAGGGUGCGAGCGUUAAUCGGAAUUACUGGGCGUAAAGCGUGCGCAGGCGGUUUUGUAAGUCAGAUGUGAAAUCCCCGAGCUCAACUUGGGAACUGCGUUUGAAACUACAAGACUAGAAUAUGUCAGAGGGGGGUAGAAUUCCACGUGUAGCAGUGAAAUGCGUAGAGAUGUGGAGGAAUACCAAUGGCGAAGGCAGCCCC